rnacentral:rRNA from 1 species
GAGUUUGAUCGUGGCUCAGGAUGAACGCCGGCGGUGUGCCUAAUACAUGCAAGUCGUACGCACUGGCCCAACUGAUUGAUGGUGCUUGCACCUGAUUGACGAUGGAUCACCAGUGAGUGGCGGACGGGUGAGUAACACGUAGGUAACCUGCCCCGGAGCGGGGGAUAACAUUUGGAAACAGAUGCUAAUACCGCAUAACAACAAAGGCCACAUGGCUUUUGUUUGAAAGAUGGCUUUGGCCAUCACUCUGGGAUGGACCUGCGGUGCAUUAGCUAGUUGGUAAGGUAACGGCUUACCAAGGCGAUAAUGCAUAGCCGAGUUGAGAGACUGAUCGGCCACAAUGGAACUGAGACACGGUCCAUACUCCUACGGGAGGCAGCAGUAGGGAAUCUUCCACAAUGGGCGCAAGCCUGAUGGAGCAACACCGCGUGAGUGAAGAAGGGUUUCGGCUCGUAAAGCUCUGUUGUUGGAGAAGAACGUGCGUGAGAGUAACUGUU